GAAAUAAAAUAAUGAUUAAAGAUUAUUGGACUGGUAAAUAACCACGUCAAAAUUUUGAUACAACCAUUGCUGACGUCCUUUUGCUUGCUUCUGGUUUUGUUACUUGCAUUUCUUAACUUUGUUGGUAGAACUUCAAAUUGGCCAGCUGGUUUUCCUGGCCAAGAGAGACCUCGCCGGUGCUUCUUUUGUUUUUUUUGAUUCCCCUAGCCAGCUACUAAGGCUGCAGAAUCACCUUCAGAUAUAAUCUUUUUGUAUGAAUGAAGGAUCUCCUCAUUUCAUAGGAUUGAAGCCUAUAGCUGGGCCUCAUGCCUUAAAACGUGUGCCUCCAGAAUGGGGGCAGGUUGGCUCCAAGAGAAUGCCAAUGUUUUUCUAAAUUAGGCCCCAGACAUCCAUGCUUUGCUAGGUGUAACCUCUCAAAAUUCCAUAUCUCCUCAAGCUCGACCUCAUAAAAUUAUAAUCCUUCUAUUUCCAAGCUCGGCCCAAGUAUUUAUUAGGUUGGUGAGGCCUUGGUACUGAAUGAUAUCUAUGAUCUUUCGUUUAUUAUUGUCUACAAUUUACUAUCUACGCUGCUAAAGAGUCAAGAAUAUAAGACAGUACUCGCUACAAAGAUGAAUAGUUUACCUAACACAGAAAAGAAUAUUUUAAACUCGAGAUUUAGUUUUUCAAAAACUAGACGCAAUUAUCACUUUAGCUAAGUGUCUAACUAUAAUAUAUAGAAAAUUUUCUUUAUAAUUGGAUCCCAAAAAGAUCCCUAUUACUUGUGUUCUUUUAACUACCAAGUAGACUGAUCUCUUAAAUGUUAAUGGGGUGAUUAGUAUUUUAAGAGCAAGUUGUGCCUUUAAGACUUUAACCCUUAGUCCCC
rnacentral:lncRNA from 1 species